rnacentral:rRNA from 1 species
GAUGAACGCUGGCGGCGUGCCUAAUACAUGCAAGUCGAGCGAACGGACGAGAAGCUUGCUUUUCUGAUGUUAGCGGCGGACGGGGGAGUAACACGUGGAUAACCUACCUAUAAGACUGGGAUAACUUCGGGAAACCGGAGCUAAUACCGGAUAAUAUUUUGAACCGCAUGGUUCAAAAGUGAAAGACGGUCUUGCUGUGACUGAUAGAUGGAUCCGCGCUGCAUUAGCUAGUUGGUAAGGUAACGGCUUACCAAGGCAACGAUGCAUAGCCGACCUGAGAGGGUGAUCGGCCACCCUGGACCUGAGACCCGGUCCAGCCCCCUACGGGAGGCAGCAGUAGGGAUUCUUCCGCAAUGGGCGAAAGCCUGUCGGAGCAACGCCGCGUGAGUGAUGAAGGUCUUCGGUUCGUAAAUCUCUGUUAUUGGGGAAGAACAUAUGUGUAAGUAACUGUGCCCAUCUUGACGGUACCUAAGCAGAAAGCCCCGGCUAACUACGU